GACAGAGGGUGCAAACGUUUGUUCGGAAUUACUGGGCGUAAAGCGCGUGUAGGCGGCUCUGCAAGUCGGAUGUGAAAUCCCACGGCUCAACCAUGGAAGUGCAUUCGAAACUGCAGGGCUAGAGUCCUGGAGAGGAAGGUGGAAUGCUUGGUGUAGAGGUGAAAUUCGUAGAUAUCAAGCGGAACACCGGUGGCGAAGGCGGCCUUACUGGACGGUGACUGACGCUGAGACGCGAAAGCGUGGGGAGCAAACAGGAUUAGAUACCCCGGG
rnacentral:rRNA from 1 species